rnacentral:tRNA from 1 species
GGCUUUAUAUUCAUUAUAUAAUGAUUUUAAAUUGCAAAUUUAAAGGAGUAAUAAGUUAAUUACUAAAGCUU